rnacentral:rRNA from 1 species
UACGGAGGGUGCAAGCGUUAUCCGGAAUCACUGGGUUUAAAGGGUGCGUAGGCGGCUAAAUAAGUCAGAGGUGAAAGUUUGUCGCUUAACGAUAGAACUGCCUUUGAUACUGUUAAGCUUGAAAGUAGGUGAGGUUGGCGGAAUGUGACAUGUAGCGGUGAAAUGCAUAGAUAUGUCAUAGAACACCGAUUGCGAAGGCAGCUGGCUAACCUAAAUUUGACGCUGAGGCACGAAAGCGUGGGUAGCAAACAGG